GCCCCCCUCAAGAUGAGAUUUCCCAUUCCGCAAGGAAGUAAGAUCCCUGAAAGAUGAUCAGGUUGGCCCCCCUCAAGAUGAGAUUUCCCAUUCCGCAAGGAAGUAAGAUCCCUGAAAGAUGAUCAGGUUGAUAGGUCUGAGGUGGAAGCGUGGUGACACGUGGAGCUGACAGAUACUAAUAGAUCGAGGACUUAACCUU
rnacentral:rRNA from 1 species